rnacentral:rRNA from 1 species
GACUGUUUAACAAAAACACAGCUCUAUGCUAACUCGCAAGAGGAUGUAUAUGGAGUGACACGUGACCAAUGCCAAAAGGUCAAUGGGAGAGGUUAGCGCAAGCGAAGCUUCGAUCUGAAGCCCUGGUGAAUGUCGGCCGUAACUAUAACGGUCCUAAGGUAGCGAAAUUCCUUGUCGGGUAAGUUCCGACCUGCACGAAUCGUGUAACGAUGCCAGCACUGUCUCAACGUGGAUCUCGGCGAAGUUGUAAUUCCGGUGAAAAUGCCGGAUACCUGCGGAAGGACGGAAAGACCCCAUGAACCUUUACUGUAAUCUGAUAUUGGUAUUUGAUUGCUCUUGUGUAGCAUAGGUGGGAGGCAGUGAAACCGCUACGCCAGUACCGGUGGAGCCACAGGUGAAAUACCACCCUGGUGUAAUUAGAUAUCUAACGGUGUCCCGUGAAUCCGGGCCCCGGACCGUGUCAGAGGGUCAGUUUGACUGGGGCGGUUUCCUCCUAAAUUGUAACGGAGGAGCCCGAAGGUACACUCAGCACGGUUGGCAAUCGUGUGCAGAGCGUAAGGGUAGAAGUGUGCUUUACUGUAAGACCGACAGGUCGAGCAGUUGCGAAAGCAGGGCCUAGUGAUCCAGCGAUGGAAUGUGGAAUCGUCGUUGCUCAACGGAUAAAAGGUACUCUGGGGAUAACAGGCUGAUAGCGCCCAAGCGUCCAUAGCGACGGCGCUGUUUGGCACCUCGAUGUCGACUCAUCACAUCCUGGGGCUGUAGAAGGUCCCAAGGGUUCGGCUGUUCGCCGAUUAAAGUGGUACGCGAGUUGGGUUCAGAACGUCGUGAGACAGUUCGGUCCUUAUCCUCCGCAGGCGCAGGAUAUUUGAUGGGAUCAUUCCUUAGUACGAGAGGACCGGGAAUGACUGACCUCUGGUGUUCCGGUUGUGGCGUCAGCUGCAUUGCCGGGUAGCUAUGUCGGGAACGGAUAAGCGCUGAAAGCAUCUAAGCGCCAAGCCCACCCAAAGACGAGAUAUCCCUUCCCGCAAGGGACUGAAGGCCGGUCGAAGACUACGACCUUGAUAGGACGGAGAUGUAAGCGCAGUAAUGCGUUCAGUUUACCGUUACUAAUCGGCCGUGAGGCUUAACCAC